CAGCACCUCAAGUGGUCAGGAUGAUUAUUGGGCCUAAAGCAUCCGUAGCCGGCUUUGUAAGUUUUCGGUUAAAUCCAUGUGCUCAACGCAUGGGCUGCCGAAAAUACUGCAUGGCUAGGGAGUGGGAGAGGUAGACGGUACUCAGUAGGAAGGGGUAAAAUCCUUUGAUCUAUUGAUGACCACCUGUGGCGAAGGCGGUCUACCAGAACACGUUCGACGGUGAGGGAUGAAAGCUGGGGGAGCAAACCGGAUUAGAUACCCGGGUAGUCCCAGCUGUAAACGAUGCAGACUCGAUGAUGCAUUGGCAUAAUAGCCAGUGCAGUGUCGCAGGGAAGCCGUUAAGUCUGCCGCCUGGGAAGUACGUACGCAAGUAUGAAACUUAAAGGAAUUGGCGGGGGAGCACCACAAGGGGUGAAGCCUGCGGUUCAAUUGGAGUCAACGCCAGAAAUCUUACCCGGAGAGACAGCAGAAUGAAGGUCAAGCUGAAGACUUUACCAGACAAGCUGAGAGGUGGUGCAUGGCCGUCGCCAGCUCGUGCCGUGAGAUGUCCUGUUAAGUCAGGUAACGAGCGAGAUCCCUGCCACUAGUUGCUAUCAUUAUUCUCAGGAAUAGUGGGGCGAAUUAGUGGGACUGCCGUUGUUAAAACGGAAGAAGGAAGGGGCUACGGCAGGUCAGUAUGCCCCGAAACUCUGGGGCCACACGCGGGCUGCAAUGGU
rnacentral:rRNA from 1 species